GGGUCAGUAGGUUGGUCGUGCCACCGGUACGUACUGGUCUCACUGAUUCCUCCUUCCUGAAGAACCGUAAUGCCAUUAAUUUGGUGUUGCGGGGAAACAGGACUGUUACUUUGAAAGAAUUCGAGUGUUUAAAGCAAGCUAACGCUUGAAUACAUUAGCAUGGAAUAAUGAAAUAGGACGAUCGAUCCUAUUUUGUUGGUUUCUAGGAUUGACGUA
rnacentral:rRNA from 1 species